AUUGAACGCUGGCGGCAGGCCUAACACAUGCAAGUCGAACGGUAACAGGAAGAAGCUUGCUUCUUUGCUGACGAGUGGCGGACGGGUGAGUAAUGUCUGGGAAACUGCCUGAUGGAGGGGGAUAACUACUGGAAACGGUAGCUAAUACCGCAUAACGUCGCAAGACCAAAAAGGGGGACCUUCGGGCCUCUUGCCAUCGGAUGUGCCCAGAUGGGAUUAGCUAGUAGGUGGGGUAACGGCUCACCUAGGCGACGAUCCCUAGCUGGUCUGAGAGGAUGACCAGCCACACUGGAACUGAGACACGGUCCAGACUCCUACGGGAGGCAGCCGUGGGGAAUAUUGCACAAUGGGCGCAAGCCUGAUGCAGCCAUGCCGCGUGUAUGAAGAAGGCCUUCGGGUUGUAAAGUACUUUCAGCGGGGAGGAAGGGAGUAAAGUUAAUACCUUUGCUCAUUGACGUUACCCGCAGAAGAAGCACCGGCUAACUCCGUG
rnacentral:rRNA from 1 species